rnacentral:lncRNA from 1 species
AGAAUUACACAAGUCAGGAAUAUCAACCCCUUGGCUUUGGUGCAUAGACAGAGGAAGCGGGAAAGAGCUACUAGCUAAAAUUCACAAAGGUUUUUGCGGGUCACAUAUAGGAUCUAAAGCCUUGGUAAGUAAAGCACUGAGGUAGGGAUUCUAUUGGCCCACCGCAAUUCAUGGUUCACAAAGCCUCGUAUGAAGUUGCGAAGCCUGUCAAAAGAUGGCAAAACAAUAGAAUGCACCAUCGCUGCCA